UUAGAGUGUACCCAAAACAAAGCUCUAGCCAAUCAAGUCUCUGUGUGCCUGGAGAGACUGGGCAGUUUGACCUUUAAGCCUGAAUAUUCAACUGUCCUACUCUUUGAAGCAGACACAACUGCUCUGCAUCAGACCAUCACCACAUUUGUGUCUCUCAAAACCAUUCAAAUUCCUGAGCACUUGAUGGAUCAUGCUAGUUCAUCAAAUAUUGGGCCUUUCCUGAAGAAAAGAGGCUAUAUCCCAAUGCAAGAGCAGAAUCCAGCAUCACAACUGUUCCUCUCAGCAAAUGGCUCCUUGGAAACAAAUCUGCCAGUGAUUGUCUGGACUGACUCACCCAAAAGCAGACCUUGGAGAAUAGUCAGACUUCUGCAAGAGCCUGCAAUUUCUUCAGUAGUGUCUGGGAAAACCUAAAGGGCUUAGAAAACUGGCUCCUCAAGAGUCAGUGACAGGAAGUUCCUGAAAAACCAAGUUAUCAAAAGUGUAACAGCCAUUCCACUACCAGUUCUUUCUCCAUUGAAACUGAAGAUCAAGAGUUUCCUGAACAAGAUGAGACAGAUCUAUCAGAUUGGUUGGUGACUCCCUAGGAACCCCAGAAGCUGGAGAAGCCUGAGAAUGGCAGUCGUGAAACCAGUGAGAAGUUUAAGCACUUGUGCUAGUCCUACAAUGUGAACGAUUGGCUUGUCAAGACCAACUCCCGCACCAACUGUCAGGGCAACAAGCCCAAGGGGGUGGAGAUUGAAAACCUGGCAAUCUGAACUGCCUGAAUGACCACUUGGAGGCCAAAACACCAUUGUCCACCCCCAGCGUGGUUACUGGGAUUGGCCUGUCCAGAAGCAUCAUGACCCAUGUAAGGUAGAGGAGAUGUGCAAAGCCAAUGAGCCCUGCACAAGCUUUGCAAAGUGUGUGUGUGAUGAGAAUUGUGAGAAGGAAGCUCUGUGCAAGUGGCUUCUGAAGAAAGAAGGAAAGGAUAAAAAUGGGAUGCCUGAGGAACCCAAACCUGAGCCUGAGAAGCAUAAAGAUUCCCUGAACAUGUGGUUCUGUCCUUCUAGAAAAGAAGUAAGAGAACACAGGCACUAAAGGUAAUGGUUCCUUCUGGAACUUCUGAUUCCUUCCAAGUCAUAAAGAACAGCUGUCAGAGUGGCUCAUCUGGCCGCCAUACAAAAAAGGAAGUCCCAAGGAAGACAGAGCUGGCAAACCAAAGCCUAAAAGCCCCAUGACCACUUCCUGGUGUCCCUUUAACACAGCUGACUGGGUCCUGCCAGGACAGAAGAUGGGCAACCUCAGCCAGUUAUCCUCUGUCAAAGACAAGUGGCUGCUUGGAAAGAAGGCCCAGGAAGUAUUAAUUAAUUCACCUCUACAGGAGGAAUAUAAUUUCCUCCUAGACCUUUUCGGCCUCCCUGCAGUUUGUGACCUUUUUGCCUGUAUGCAGCUUAAGUUGAUAAAGAGAAGUGGUUACACCAAACUCCUCUGCAGAUGUGA
rnacentral:lncRNA from 1 species